GGGCGGACGUAGCCAAGU
rnacentral:tRNA from 1 species